AGAUUGAACGCUGGCGGCAGGCCUAACACAUGCAAGUCGAGCGGUAGAGAGGUGCUUGCACCUCUUGAGAGCGGCGGACGGGUGAGUAAUGCCUAGGAAUCUGCCUAGUGGUGGGGGAUAACGUUCGGAAACGGACGCUAAUACCGCAUACGUCCUACGGGAGAAAGCGGGGGACCUUCGGGCCUCGCGCCAUUAGAUGAGCCUAGGUCGGAUUAGCUAGUUGGUGAGGUAAUGGCUCACCAAGGCGACGAUCCGUAACUGGUCUGAGAGGAUGAUCAGUCACACUGGAACUGAGACACGGUCCAGACUCCUACGGGAGCAGCAGUGGGAAUAUUGGACAAUGGGCGAAAGCCUGAUCCAGCCAUGCCGCGUGUGUGAAGAAGGUCUUCGGAUUGUAAAGCACUUUAAGUUGGAGGUAAGGUUGUAAACGUUAAUACGUUGACUAAACUUUGACGUUACCGACAGAAUAAGCACCGCUAACUUCGUGCCAGCAGCCGCGUAA
rnacentral:rRNA from 1 species